rnacentral:rRNA from 1 species
CCUACGGGUGGCUGCAGUGGGGAAUUUUGGACAAUGGGCGCAAGCCUGAUCCAGCAAUGCCGCGUGUGUGAUGAAGGCCUUCGGGUUGUAAAGCACUUUUGGUGGGAACGAAACGGUCCGGGCCAAUACCCUGGACUAAUGACGGUACCUGCAGAAUAAGCACCGGCUAACUACGUGCCAGCAGCCGCGGUAAUACGUAGGGUGCGAGCGUUAAUCGGAAUUACUGGGCGUAAAGCGUGCGCAGGCGGUUUUGUAAGACCGAUGUGAAAUCCCCGGGCUUAACCUGGGAACUGCAUUGGUGACUGCAAGGCUGGAGUGUGUCAGAGGGGGGUGGAAUUCCGCGUGUAGCAGUGAAAUGCGUAGAUAUGCGGAGGAACACCGAUGGCGAAGGCAGCCCCCUGGGAUAACACUGACGCUCAUGCACGAAAGCGUGGGGAGCAAACAGGAUUAGAUACCCCAGUAGUC